UACGUAGGGUGCAAGCGUUGUCCGGAAUCAUGGGGCGUAAAGAGCGUGUAGGCGGCCCGGUAAGUCCGCUGUAAAAGUCAAAGGCUCAACCUUUGAAUGUCAGUGGAUACUGCCGGGCUAAAGUCCGGAAGAGGCGAGUGGAACUCCUGGUGUAGCGGUGGAAUGCGCAGAUAUCAGGAAGAACACCAACGGCGAAGGCAGCUCGCUAGGACGGUACUGACGCUGAGACGCGAAAGCGUGGGGAGCGAACAGG
rnacentral:rRNA from 1 species